UUUGUUGUUGUUGUCGCCGUCGCCAACGGUUGUUGCUGCUCCGCUAUUUCUCUCUGGUGGCCAAACUUGUUGCUCGUUGCUCAGCUUGCUCUCCAUGGCCGCCAUUUGAAGAAGCUGCAAAUGGUGUAGUCAUUGCAACAGAGAAGACACUGCCAUCUAUAUUGGUUGAUGAAGUAUCAGUCCAGAAAAUUCAGUUAUUAACACCAAAUAUAGGGGUUGUAUAAAGGUAUACUAAAAUAGAUAAUUCUUCUCAUAUUUUGUGCACAAUAAUAAAAGGAAAGAAUGAUGGAAAAAAAA